GCCCAGCCCGGAGCCCAGCUCUGAAGAGACCAGACCCGUGCCCUUGCCGGGCUCUGAAAGGCUCAUCUGCUCACAGAGUCUAGGACUGUCGGGGGACGUCUGCCUUCAUGCUCCAUCGCUUCCUUCACUUCACACGAGAAGAUCUGAGCUCUAGAGACAUCAUCGCCCCAAUAGGAACCGCUACUUUGAAAACCUGUGAGAGCACCCGAGUCCCAACCCAGGAUUUCAGAGAGGGAGAAGGUUGGGAGUCACUGCCCUGCGUGUAUAAAAUAGCCGUGGAUGGCUGCUUGCCUUGGACUGUAUUUCUUCUUGAAACAUUUCGUGGACUAUGCACCAUGUCUUCUUGCAAGAUUGUUCUGUUAGAAAUUCCUCAACCAACAAAGGUAAGAGGGUCUGUUAUUUCACUGUGGGCAGAUGUGUCAACAUUUUACAAAUGUUUCCUUUUCCAGAGCCCCCUCCCCCCUCCACCUCUCCCUUCCGGAAUCUUUCAAGUCUGAGAGGCCAAGUACUUCUGGGUGUCGGAUGGUUGUUCCCUCAACACCUUGGGGGCCAUGAGUUCCCCCAAACACAGCGUCCUGGCUGUCCUGUGGCCAGAAACACAGUCAUCUGCGUGAUAGAUCGGCACAGGGCCCAGCCCCAGGUCCUGGGAGGACACUUGGUCCAUUCGGCCUCCAGCAGCCGCAUGAUUUCUUGAGCUAAGCAGGAGGGGAACAGGGGACGAGGAGGCAGGGCCGGAAACCCUGCAAGUGAGACCAACGUUGAAUUGAUCCAGAAUGGAGCCUUUUUUCCGCUCCUGAGCUGCAAGUCUUUGAAAUGCUCCGUGGUGUCUUUGGGGUGGGAAAUUAGCAUCACUUCCUUCUCUCACGGUCAGGUCUUCAGCCUCCCAGCGGGGCCUCCCUUUGAAAUCUGAGGAGCAUGUGUGCAGAGGAUUCAGGAGCCAGGCUUGCAGGCCCGGAAGAAAAGCAACCGGCCUAUUUCCCAUCCAGAGAGUAACCAAAUACAGCUGUAACUCUACACUGAGGUGCUUGGGAAAAAUGAUUUUUCUUAUUAGUCAUUAUUUUCUAAGAAGCAAGUGUGCAGUGCUCAGGAAAGGAUCCAAAACGCGGCCGAGGAAAUCUAGCUGGGGUGAUAUCGCCCCAUCUAUUAUGGACAAUUUAACAAGUCAGCUGAUUUGUUUUCUUAGGAAGAGAAGCCUCGCAAUUAAAAGAGUUUUGUUUUUUCGAUUUUAAAGACAAAAUGAUUCGAUAUCGAGUUAGAAAUACAAACCAGAGAUUCCCAAACACGCGGCGGGUACCAUAUGCUUGUAGCCUGUUGCCGUUUCCUUCUAGAUUAGCUCCAUUCGAGUUCGAGCAAUUAUUAAAGGAAGCUAGAAUUCUCUUGUGUCCUGUCUACCUGUGGGAGCUAUAACGAGAUCGCCGCUGAAACAGGAAACGUACAAUAAAUUCCCCUUUUAUGACUGGAAGUGAAGUAUUUUAUGGUGCUUGCAAGUCAUGUAACUUUGUAGGGGAAACAAGUAAAUUACGUUGUGAGUUAUGUAUUACUGGACAGCCUCCGCUGCAUAAUAACCUGUUUUGUAUAUUUGCCACCUCUUUGAGGUUGUGGCCGGUGUCCGCGCCGUAGGUAGCACAUAAUCAACCGUGAUUCUGAAACGAAAAGAGGCGUUUGAUACUGAGUUUGUGAAAGGUGAUACGUAAUGAGGUUUCCUGUGAGCAAGGUAGACCAACAAUGAUAUAUCGUGUCUUAUUAGUUUGAGUAGAAAAAAAAAAAAGUUAGGUGACUUAGAAACCAGGAGAUAUUUCAAGAAUAUGGUUUGUUGGCUCAAUGUUUUUUUUUCCAAGGAGUCUUUAUGCGUCUUUUCUCUGCCAUUUUAAGAGAGAUUCAGAGUAUUCUUUGAUGACUGUGACCCAAAAGCUAACUUCCAAAAAGAAGAAAGAAAACAAGACAUGAUCUUAUUUUUCAAAAUCCAAUUUAUUUGCAAAGCCUCUAGGGGUGGCCGCCAGAGUACGUGCAUCUGAACCAAACUCGU
rnacentral:lncRNA from 1 species